rnacentral:rRNA from 1 species
GACGAACGCUGGCGGCGUGCUUAACACAUGCAAGUCGAACGGAAAGGCCCUGCUUUUGUGGGGUGCUCGAGUGGCGAACGGGUGAGUAACACGUGAGUAACCUGCCCUUGACUUUGGGAUAACUUCAGGAAACUGGGGCUAAUACCGGAUAGGAGCUCCUGCUGCAUGGUGGGGGUUGGAAAGUUUCGGCGGUUGGGGAUGGACUCGCGGCUUAUCAGCUUGUUGGUGGGGUAGUGGCUUACCAAGGCUUUGACGGGUAGCCGGCCUGAGAGGGUGACCGGCCACAUUGGGACUGAGAUACGGCCCAGACUCCUACGGGAGGCAGCAGUGGGGAAUAUUGCACAAUGGGCGGAAGCCGAAUGCAGCAACGCCGCGUGCGGGAUGACGGCCUUCGGGUUGUAAACCGCUUUCGCCUGUGACGAAGCGUGAGUGACGGUAAUGGGUAAAGAAGCACCGGCUAACUACGUG